rnacentral:rRNA from 1 species
CCUACGGGAGGCAGCAGUGGGGAAUCUUGCACAAUGGAGGAAACUCUGAUGCAGCGAUGCCGCGUGAGUGAAGAAGGCCUUUGGGUUGUAAAGCUCUUUUGUAGGGGAAGAUAAUGACUGUACCCUAAGAAUAAGGUCCGGCUAACUUCGUGCCAGCAGCCGCGGUAAUACGAAGGGACCUAGCGUAGUUCGGAAUUACUGGGCGUAAAGCGCGCGUAGGCCGUUGAGUUAGUUAAUUGUGAAAUCCCAAAGCUUAACUUUGGAACUGCAAUUAAAACUGCUCGACUAGAGUUUGAUAGAGGAAAGCGGAAUACAUAGUGUAGAGGUGAAAUUCGUAGAUAUUAUGUAGAACACCAGUUGCGAAGGCGGCUUUCUGGAUCAACACUGACGCUGAGGCGCGAAAGUAUGGGUAGCAAAGAGGAUUAGAUACCCUCGUAGUCCAUACCAUAAACGAUGAUUGCUAGAUGUUGGAAAUUUAUUUUCAGUAUCGCAGCUAACGCAUUAAGCAAUCCGCCUGGGGAUACGACCGCAAGGUUAAAACUCAAAUGAAUUGACCGG